AAUCGGCCUCCAUCUCUAGGAUCCCACAGCAGGCCCAUGGAAGUCCUGAGCAGAAUGGGAGCACUUCAACACUUGGUGUGAUGGAGACAGGGCAGCAGAAAACAGAAGACACAGGUUCCAGAAAUAGUGAAAAGCAGGGAUCUAACAAAAAGACAGAAGAGAUGACAAACUUCAUGGAUGAUCUGACUUUGAGCUCACCACAAGCCAGAUCUCGCUCAACUUCAAGGAGCAGCUGCAGCAGGAAAUACUCCUCAAGAUCAUCUAGUAGAUCAUCUUACAGUUCAAGAUCUAGUUCAAGUACUUCAGCUUCUUCAGCAAGCUGCAGUAGGUCUAGGAGCAGAUCAAGAUCACAUGCUAAAAGAAAUUGUUCUCGGAGGUACAGAAGAUAUUCAAGAUCUUAUUCCAGGAGUCGGUCAAGAUCACGUAGCUACAGAUACAGAGAAAGGUACCAUCUUCGAUACCACAGGAAAUACUAUUGCUCUCCACCCAGAUACAGAUCACGGAGCAGGUCUCCUGGAAGAUCGUAUUACAGAAGGUCUUACUCAACAAACAAAUCAAGGAACCAACGAUACUAUGGGUUUGGAAGAACCAUAUAUCCUGAGGCUUACAGAAGCUGGAGAAGCCGUUCGCGAUCAAGAUCUCGCAGUAGAACACCUCUACGCUUGACUGAAAAAGAAAAGAGAGAACUGUUGGAAAUAGCGAAAGCAAAUGCAGCAAAAACUUUUGGAGCAGAUAAGAUUGUCUUGCCGGCCAGUUUGAGAAUGUGUACAUCAUCCAAAGAAAAUGAAGAUGGGAAGCCGAAAAAGGAGAGCGUGGACUCUGAGAUAUUGAGAGCUUGGAAGAAGCAGCUUUCAUCAAUUGCAGACAAGUUAUUGAUCUUCAAUGCCUGAAGGUUUGAUAUGCAGAAAUUUGUUGCUGUAACCAUGAUUUCAAAGCGAAGACUACACUUCAUCAAUCCGUCUCUUAAACUUUAACUGCACUAGAAAAACUGAAGAUGGAUAUGAGGCUAUAUACCUUAUAUUGACUAAAAAUAGCAAACACGAGUUCUGCUAAUAAAUAUGCAGUAACUUGUGUCACACUUGCAGCCUGAAUCUGACAGUUUUUACUUGGGAAUCAGAUUGCUUCAUUUAGGAUUUACUUCCAAGUAAACAUGUUUAAUGUUGCAGCUGUAGUGUGUACACACUAGCUUAAGAAGCUAGGACAAAACUUGUCUUGGAAUGUGUGUAGUAUACUAUGCAGUCUGAUAUCUAGAUGAUACUGUUUUUAAAAUGCAAACCAUCUCCCUCUAGCAAUCCAUAAAAUCGACUGAAGAUGCCAAAAAUGGAACCGAGAGAGCUUCCACAAUCAGGGGCCUUGCCUUCAGUCCUAAUAAUACUAUGGCAAGACUAUGGUCUCUUUGACUGCAGUGUCUCCAAGAAGUGAAAAAGAAAAAGGGACUUGCUCUGGGCAAUGGAUUCCUGUCAAGAUGGAAGAAAAUGGCUUGUUCCAUAACUUUGCACAUCCUUCAGAGCAUGUUAGCAUCUGUUCAAAUCAUUGAGCAGUUAAGUCUAGGAAGUCUGAAAUACUCAAAAUCCAGUGUUUAAAAGUACGCUACUCAAUACGAGAAUUGAAUUUCUCUUACAGAUGAGAGAUGGAAUAAAAAGGCUCAAAGCACAGGUGGGAAUUUCUGUAAAUAGGUUGCAAAUACUUCUGUGUGAAAUUACAGGUGGGUAACUUUUAAAAAUGUAAAUCCUGGCACAUUUGUGUCUUGUAUAGUUGCUACUAAUAAACCCAAGUUUUGUACUGCUGAGUCAACAAUGUGACUUGUAUGGCUCCCUGUGGUAACUUAGUUGGUCUGUGCCCUCUUAGCUGGAAUACUGCCAUUUUCUGUGGCUCACAGGUAGCAAACAAAAUUUCUUUGAAGAGGAAGAGUGUAAGGAGUUGACAAUCUUUGCCUGCUGUCUUGCAAGUCUGCAUAAUUCCUCAUACUUGUUUAUAGUAUAAAGCUGGUAUAUUUACUUCGUUAAGUCCCACUCUGUCCAAUGAGGUUCAUGCCCAUAGUAAUUCAGAUUGUCAGCUUAGUGAGUUAAAUGUAUUGAUUGCAAAGCGGAGAUAGUUGUACAUUGGGCAAGAACUUCUAGAGUUUGACAUUCUAACAAACUUCAAGGAUAAAAUAAAGUGUCUCAAGCAGUAAGGACUGUUCAGAGCAAGAUUAGCUAUGAAGUACAGAUGUCAAGCUAUAUGUCAGCUGAAACUAGGUGUUAGGAAAUCCAUAUUGCUUGUAUGGGUGUGUUUCUGUAGCUAGACUUUGUUGGUUUAUAUGCCAUUUAAGAAGCUUAAGACCUAAAAUGGAGGGCCAUUUGUAUGAGCAGCAUAUCUUCAGCCUGCACAAAAGUGAACUGUGUACAUAUUGAAAGGGUGACUUCAAAAUAAAGCUAUUUUGACUGAA